ensembl:lncRNA
UCUGCUCAUUACCCCCCAGGGAAGAGAUCCCACUGGACAAGCUUUCUGAAAUAAACAAAAAUGUGACUGUUUUAAAAAUCAAAUUUACAUUGCGCAAUCCUUGGUUUCAUAUAGGUGUGGUUUAGGUUUUUAAAAUAAAAUGAAUGUGAGUUUGUUUUUGUUCCUACAAGCGGCCGAAAGGAAGGAAGGAAGGAAGGAAGGAAGGAAGGAAGGAAGGAUGGGGAGACGGAGGCUGCGUUGGUCACGCUGCAGGAGCUCUGCUUAAGGACGAAAGAAGCCCCGGGGAGCCCUGCAGGAGAGGGCCUCUUAUUAACAGCACAGGAAAGCUGAAAGCUGACAUCCCCCCCUGCAGCACCUCUACAGCACUUCCUGGCACUGACUUUGCUGGUAAUAUUUGUGGCAGAUCCUGGAUAUCUAACUAACAGAUUACGGAUUCAAAUGUAGCAGCUUCAGUCACACAGUCUCAAUUGAUGCCCGGCUGCGCCUCUAUUCCCACCUUGCACGGGACGCCAACACAACGCUGCAGCCCAAACAGCCAAGACAGAGGGGCCGUGAUCCGCGAAGCCACCUGAGGCAGACUGGAAGCAUACGGCGUGCAGGAACAACACUUUGCUGCCAAUAAUUAGCACAAGCAUGAGUAUCAAUUGCAAUUUUUCUUGGUUAGGGUUUGGCACCCUCAAAGUACUUUUCCUGUAAAUAUGAAUGAAUAGACUACUGUUAGAGGUACAAUUUAUUGUCAGAUUGUUAGUUUGUUAACCAACAAUGUAACACUCUCCACCGCGGUGGAUUAAGGUUGAGGGUGAAUGAAGAGGCGUGGGAACAAAGCGCUUACAUUCUCAGGGACUGCGGAGCCGGGUCAAAAAUGAGUCGUGCUGUUCCCAUUUUUAAAACUCAACAUGAGUAACCUCGAUGGCGAGCUCACUCAGAGGGAGCAGCAGUUACUGAAAAUCCGGCGCGACAGCGACACCAAGGCAGCCGAGCUUGUCAAGAUGGAGAAGAUGCUGCAGCAGACCAAGAACCUUUUGGACAAGAAGACGGAGAGCGGUUCAGAGAGCCAGGACUUCCAGGAGAACAUGGAAGACCUGGAGGAAAGAGUAAGAUCCAGCAGACGGCAAAGGAGGAACUCCCUCCAUCACACACAGAUGCUGGAGAGCCAGAUGAAGACUGUGAAGGGCGAGUUGGUGGGCACGCUGGACCACCUCCAGGAGCUGAGGAACGUCUUGCGCCGCUCGCAGCAGAAAGCGGAAGAGCGCAAAGCCACCAUGGAGAAGCUGGCGGCGGGGCUCAGGUGAAGCGCGGCGAGACGAGGCUUUGGCCUUUUUGCACGCUGACGCCGGGCAGAGAUGACAUCAAACACCCGUAGGCCACUGAACGCGAGGGAAGAGACGUGAGCUGCUGCGGUGAGGCCAUUGUUUGGCAUCCAACGUUCAGACUUUGGUCGUGCUCUCUCACAAACGUCUGAGGUGGCUUCUUCAUCCUUUUAUCCUCCCUUUAUUGUCCUGUUAUUAUUAAUACAAUAUUUUGAAGGCUAAAUGUCGAAACGCUUUUGAUGUCCUCAGUUUUAAAAUACAAUCAAAUACACAUCAUUUUUUUCUUCUUCAAGUCUGAAAUAUGCAGCUUUAGAAGCAACAUAUACUCUGAGCAGCUGUCAUGAUCAUUUGUGUUUUUCUGGCUUAGCAUGUCCAUUCGUUUAUGACAGGAAAGAGAUAACAUAGAUCCCCUCCACGUUAUUGACGCACUUUUAAUGAAUUCCUCCCUGCCAAUAAUAACAUGUGUGUUGUUUUUUGUAAUCUAAAUCUGUAACCAUUUUAGAACAAAAAAAAAGUGGAUUUAGUCUCCUGGCCCAUGCAUGCACAUGUUAAAAAUAGCAACAUAAAUGCCCAUUUGUGUGGGCGUAAGUGGGGAGUAAAAUGUGUCUUUUAAAUGAACUCUUUUACAAUGUAUCGUCGGGAGUGCACAAAUAAACAAUCCUGACCAUUAAAUGGUGGAGGAAAACACUCAGUGUUUCGACUCGCUCCGGGGUCAUUGGCUUUUGUCUGUUUCCUGCGGUGAGUCAGCUGAAAAGUGUGUUUGUUCCUUCCCUGUGGCUGAGCUGUGAUCACAUACAUCUUGUUAAGCACCGCUUGAUUCACACAGCCUGACAUCAUGUGAGACUUUUCUUCACAGACCCUGACCCGUAGCUGUAAUUAUAACACCAUGUCAAGGGGAAGACUGCUCAUUACCCACAGCCGAGGGCGUAAAAAUAGACACCCUCACUUUCAAGUCUCUCACAAGGGACUCAUUCUGCCAACUCCUAAGGACACUGGGGGGUUUACAGGGGUUUUGGUGUAUGAGACGCAUCUCUGUCAGGUUUCCUUUGUGUGCUUAUUCUUCAUUGACCAACAAUAAACAAAAGAUGCAAUUAAAGGAGUGAUAUACAACCAUGCAAUGACUAUUUCUGGGUACAUGCUGAUUUUAUAUCAAUGUCAAAACCCAUUUUAUUAUGAGACAAUGUGAUGGUGUGUGUGCUUCAACAUAGAAGUUCACUAGCGAGCGACCUGUCCACCUCUGACUGUCAGAGCCUAUUAAAAGGAAAUGAUGACAAUGACAAAACCCACAAAGAAAUUAAUUGUGGGUUUUGUUGUGCACAAUGAAGGUCUAUUUACUGUGCCUAUUGUUGUUGUUUGAAGAUGUAUACAAGCCACUGUGCCUUCGAUUCAUGUGACUUCUUGUGUGGUGCCAGUCACGUGCACAGAUAGACCCCUAAUGGUGCUCAAGCACCUUCCUUUUUCCCCUGGCUGAGAAAAGUGCCCCUUCUGCUGCAGCCCAAUCUUUUCUUCAUUUGUCAAUGUUUAAGAAUAAAAAUUACUCUAGGAUCUCCUUGACAACGGAAAAGAUAAGCCUACUACAGGACCAGAUGAGAAGGAUGGACGACUAAAGAG